UGGGUUCUGACCACCCUCAGGACAGCUCCUGGGUCAGCAGGUGAGCUGAGGAAGGUAAGGACCGGGCAAAGGAGAGGGGUUGUCUUGGGUAGCAAGCAGGCAGGGAGGGCAGGGCUGCGCAGCCUGGCCUGGUCUGGAUUCUGCCCUGCUCUCAAUGCCUGUGGGGCCACAGCCAGGGAAAGGGAGCCCAUGGAAGCUGGGCCCAACCUACAGGCUCAGAGAGGCCGCGGAGCCAAGAGGGUGUACGGACGGAUGCACGGGACCACGGGAUGCUGCCCUGCUGGAGUCCCCACCACUGGUGGCACAGAGGUGCCCCCUCCUCCAGGCAGGCCACCAGGAAACCAUGAGGCCCUUGAUCAGCCGCUUCCAGAAGUCAGAGCCCUGUGAAAAGCGAGCACUUGAGACGAGGCCCUGCACCGGCCGGCCUGGCUGGGCCUGCGUCACUGCUUCCUGCCUGCUGAGUCUGGGAGACACGGGCCCAUUCGUGGAGGUGCCCAUGCCAAGGCUUGCCAGCCGCUUCCCUGUGUGAGCUCACUUCGUCCCUGACACCACCCUGAGGUUCAGGGCGGCAGCUGUGGGGCUUCGCGCCCUUGGGCGCUGCCCACCCACGUGGAGCCGCCACUCUGAGUCACCAAGACACUGCGGAAGUGGUGCAGGACAGGGCCUGAGGAUGCCUUGGUCUGGGGGUCACCUGCUCUAGGGGAGCUGGGCGCCCGGUUGUGAGGACAACAAGCAGCGUGAGCAAGAAGCCACGCCUGGAACGCGGGGCCGGCCUUCAGACACGUGUGAACAAGGAAGCCCACGCUGCUUCUGGCAGCGGUCUUGUCCCCACGAGGGGCUCUGCUGAAGGAAGACGUCAAGGGGAGAGCGGGAUCCUUGAUUGGACGCAAGCAUGACCUCUGCACUUCCCAGCAGAAGCCCUCAUUGUGGAAGCUGGCCCUGCAGAGUUUCCUUCCCUGGAGCUAACAGUGUCCAGCCAAGACCGUCAGCAGGCAGGUAAGCCCCUUGCUCUGUGUUUGCCAUCCAUCUCCGCCUUCCGGUAGGUCAGGGAUGGUGUGACCUGUGGUGUGGGCUCCGGAGAGACACGUUCUUCCUAUGAGGUGCGUGAUAAAUGUCUGUUGUCAAAGCAGGACCCACGUCUGGGUUUCAGGGGCUGGUGGCUUUGUUUGGGGUUUUCUGGAGGCGGGGCUCCCUGGGAUGGUAGCUGGACACGGAGGUUUGAAGGGCUGAGCGCAGCAUGGUCCCAGGUAAAUGAGGGCUGAUGGCACAAGGCACAGAGGGACCCCGAGGGGCGGCCCUGGGAUGAGCGGGGGCCCGGCUGCCCCAUGCUGCCCCACCCAGGGCUCCUGUGGCCCCGGGGGUGCAGGGGCUCUGAGCUGCAGGAGGAAUCACUCUGUAUUGAGCGCCUGCUGCAUGCCAGGCGGUGUCUGUGCGCCCACCACCACACGCAGGGCUCUCCGUACCCUGGUGCUGAAUCAGGGCGGCAUCUGGGCUGCACUCUGGCUCCGUGCUGAGCACUUCCCAGGCCUGUGUGAGGCCGCAGGGGCUCAGAGAGGUGAAGCUGCUAGCCACAGGUUGCACAGCCAGCUGGUGGCAGAGCCGUGCUCAGACCCGGGCUGCCUCCCCACUGGGCCUUGGGCCUGGGCUCUUUCCUGCCCCUCUGACACCCCCAUGGGCAGGUGCAUAGUAGGAGCUCAGGAAGCUGGAGGACCCAUAGCACUGCUCACCAGGGGGAAGCUGGGGCUGCAGAGGCUGCCAGCACCCCCCCCAUCUCCUGAGGGUCACAGCAGGACAAGGAUAAGAUUAUCUGACGUACUUUGCUCUCUCCUGUCGAGAAAAACAGCCACAGAUGAAAAUAGCUUCUCCAGCAGUCACAGACAGGGAGGGGUUGUCGAGCUCCCCUCUCCUGGGCCCACAGCCCUUGUCCCCAGGGAGGCAGGACACCGCCUGGGUCACUCUGAGCAGAGGUGUAAGCCCCGAGCUCCAGUGCCCCCUCCCGGAUGCCCCACCUGGCAGGGGUCAGGGGUUGCCAGGCCAGGACAGAGCAGCCCUCCCGGGCAGGCCUGGGGCGGGGUGGGGGACACGCCAGGACCUUGGGCACAGUGAGGCCCAUUGGAGCAUUGAGCCCCUACCCCCGGCCGGUCAGUGUCCCCGACCAGCCCAUGAGAUGCAGCCCGGAAGCUCUGAGUGCCACCCUUCCCUGGGGUGUGGAUGAGGGGAGCCUGGGCAGCGGCCCUGCCCACCUCCCUGGAGGAGCGGGACGACGGUCACCUGAGCCCGAGGCCCCUGCCCACCUCGAAUGCCUGGGCGUCUCCUCUGAAACAGAAGUGCUGGACUUGCUCAGACAAGUCGUUUCCACACAUCACAGACCACUGGGAUGUUGGGCGGAAGGAAGCCAGACCCGCGGCCCCACGCUCUGACCCUGCCGUUGGACGGUAUCCCGUCUCUGUCCGUCUGCACACCACGGGAAACUGUCUUCACCGCCGCUGCCCCGGGAACGGACAGUUUCCAGCCAGAGGGCCAGGAAAACAAGGCCUGCUCACACCUGGGAUUUUAGGUUGUUUCCAGUGUUUGUGGUAUCAGUUGUGCCUCCCGGAGCCCCUCGCGCCCGCGACCGCUCUGCCACCAGGCCAUUUUCUUAGGCCAGGUGCCCAGACAUGGGACUGCAGGGUCGGGUCACAGCCACGUCCACGGCUCCGGGUGCCAAGUGGCUGUCAGCAUCACGGCAGCCCCCUCCCGCCCGGCGCCUCCCCACCCCCAGCGGACAUGUCCCCUGGCAGCGCAGCCCAGUGCCCUCCGCGGGCUGGGCUGCGUUGUCAUCCCUCCCGCCUGUGUCGGUCAGCGGUUUUCCGAGGAGAGAACUGGGGCAGAGGCCCAGCAGAUAAACGUUGUUUAAAAUUUGGCUGAUAUUCUUGUUCUAUGCAGAUAGAAAGUAGGGAACCCAAUCGUAACCCACCACAGAAGGACUCCGUUGGUCCGGGUCUUCAGGUUUUUAUUCUAUGUUUUAAAUUUCUGUCAAAUUAGUUUUUUUUUUAACUUAAAGAAUGUGAG